GUUUGGCGCAGGUCUGAUUUUGUGAAUAUGGGGUAAUUAACCAAUACAAAUUGCACUUGAAUAUGCCACAUCUUUUCUGACGGACUUACUGAGUAACAUAUUCCUUCGGUAAUUAUUGACGACUUGUUUCUUCUGUUCUUUCGAUAACUAAGACCUAUUCGUUUGUUAGGGUUAAAAUUUCUGAAAUUUUAUAUCUUCACCAAAGUUUUUCCAUUGUGUCGUUGUACACUCACUCACUACAAAACAUUCUUUCUAACUUCUAUUUACAUCACCCUGCCACUAUAAGAGUCACAUUCCUCCACUCUUUUUCCUUCCUUUCCCUUCUUUUUCGACAAAUAUGAAUCAUCACUACUCCUUUCCCUUCUCUUCCUCUUCGUCAACAGGAACUGUGUCAUCGCAUUGCCACUGCGAGUCUCCCUUUCCUUCCUAUUGCAAAAGUGACGAGAGGUUC
rnacentral:lncRNA from 1 species